UACAGAGGGGGCAAGCGUUAUUCGGAAUUAUUGGGCGUAAAGGGCGCGUAGGCGGCUUUGCAAGUGACGGGUGAAAGCCCUCGGCUUAACCGAGGAACUGCCUGUCAGACUGUAAGGCUUGAGACCGGGAGAGGUGAGUGGAUUUCCCAGUGUAGCGGUGAAAUGCGUAGAUAUUGGGAGGAACACCAGUGGCGAAGGCGGCUCACUGGACCGGAACUGACGCUGAGGCGCGAAAGCGUGGGGAGCAAACAGG
rnacentral:rRNA from 1 species